ACUCAGGCACGAUCGCCGCACAUACCGCCGGCGAACCGACCUGAAGUAUCAAUCCUGAAGGG
rfam:Corynebacterium doosanense CAT 212 = DSM 45436, complete genome.